AAGUUAGCGGCGGACGGGUGAGUAACACGUGGCUAACCUGCCCAUAAGACUGGGAUAACUCCGGGAAACCGGGGCUAAUACCGGAUAACAUUUUGAACUGCAUGGUUCGAAAUUGAAAGGCGGCUUCGGCUGUCACUUAUGGAUGGACCCGCGUCGCAUUAGCUAGUUGGUGAGGUAACGGCUCACCAAGGCAACGAUGCGUAGCCGACCUGAGAGGGUGAUCGGCCACACUGGGACUGAGACACGGCCCAGACUCCUACGGGAGGCAGCAGUAGGGAAUCUUCCGCAAUGGACGAAAGUCUGACGGAGCAACGCCGCGUGAGUGAUGAAGGCUUUCGGGUCGUAAAACUCUGUUGUUAGGGAAGAACAAGUGCUAGUUGAAUAAGCUGGCACCUUGACGGUACCUAACCAGAAAGCCACGGCUAACUACGUGCCAGCAGCCGCGGUAAUACGUAGG
rnacentral:rRNA from 1 species